GAGAAGAACGCAGCGAAAUGCGAUAAGUAGUGUGAAUUGCAGAAUUCAGUGAAUCAUCGAAUCUUUGAACGCACAUUGCGCCCUUUGGUAUUCCUUAGGGCAUGCCUGUUCGAGCGUCAUUUAAACCUUCAAGCUCAGCUUGGUGUUGGGUGACUGUCCGCUUCACCGCGGACUCGCCUCAAAAUUAUUGGCGGCCGGUACAUUGGCUUCGAGCGCAGCAGAAACGCGAACUCGGGCCCGUCGUAUUGGCUCCCAGAAGCUAUCUUCACAAUUUUGACCUCGGAUCAGGUAGGGAUACCCGCUGAACUUAAGCAUAUCAAUAAGCGGAGGA
rnacentral:misc_RNA from 1 species